CAUCACUGGUGUUCGGGUUGUCAUGCCAAUGGCACUGCCCGGUAGCUAAAUGCGGAAGAGAUAAGUGCUGAAAGCAUCUAAGCACGAAACUUGCCCCGAGAUGAGUUCUCCCUGAGACUAUAAGUCUCCUGAAGGAACGUUAAAGACGAUGACGUUGAUAGGCCGGGUGUGUAAGCGCAGCGAUGCGUUGAGCUAACCGGUACUAAUGAACCGUGAGGCUUAACCUUACAACGCCGAAG
rnacentral:rRNA from 1 species